rnacentral:rRNA from 1 species
AUGCAAGUCGAGGGGCAUCGGGAAGAAAGCUUGCUUUCUUUGCCGGCGACCGGCGCACGGGUGAGUAACGCGUAUCCAACCUUCCCCUUAGUAGUGGAUAGCCCGGCGAAAGUCGGAUUAAUACACUAUGUUGUUCGAUGAGGACAUCUGAAUUGAACCAAAGAUUAAUCGCUAAGGGAUGGGGAUGCGUCUGAUUAGGUAGUCGGCGGGGUAACGGCCCACCGAGCCAUCGAUCAGUAGGGGUUCUGAGAGGAAGGUCCCCCACACUGGUACUGAGACACGGACCAGACUCCUACGGGAGGCAGCAGUGAGGAAUAUUGGUCAAUGGGCGCGAGCCUGAACCAGCCAAGUAGCGUGCAGGAUGACGGCCCUACGGGUUGUAAACUGCUUUUAUGCGGGGAUAAAGUUCAGCACGUGUGCUGUUUUGUAGGUACCGCAUGAAUAAGGACCGGCUAAUUCCGUGCCAGCAGCCGCGGUAAUACGGAAGGUCCUGGCGUUAUCCGGAUUUAUUGGGUUUAAAGGGAGCGCAGGCUGAUUAUUAAGCGUGACGUGAAAUGUAGCCGCUCAACGGCUGAACUGCGUCGCGAACUGGUAGUCUUGAGUGAGUUCGAUGUA